GCCGAAUACUCUUAUCUGCCCAGUGUAGGCAAGUAGCCUAUGUAAAAUGCUUUUUAUCAAUAAAUUAAUUUUAUGUAAGAAAGCGACAAAACCCUACACGCUUUCUUUCACCAUCAAACUAAAUGUCCGAAUUAUUUUGUCAUUUUGACUGCGUGAUACACCUUGCUCGGCAGCUAGUAGCCAAGCAAGUACAUACAGUCCGUCAUCCGUGGUACAGCGCUCGUGAUAAGGUAGUAGUAGGUACAACUAUUAUAGUAAUCUGUGGUAGUACUCUCCGUAGGUAUUGAAAAGUAUUGUGAGUGGUAGCAUUUUGAUAGGUAUCUUAUAUUUAUGUUGGUAGGGUAAGAGAAAAUUACCAUUAAAGCGGUGCUUGCACAUAAGUAGGUAGGUAUAGGUACCCUACCUACGAACCAAAAUGGUUCCUUCUAAUCUGUUUUAAUAUUCUAGAUUUUUACUUUUGAAAGCUUCAUUCUUCCCGAGAACAAGGCUCUAUUUUAUCCCGGUAUGAGCAGUAGUUGCCACGCCACGGGAAGCCUCUGAAACUGCGGGGAAACGUCUAGUAGUUUAUGUAGAAAGCAUUAGAUCUGCUAGUCGGCAGUGACAGCUGCGAGCGGCGGCGGCGGCGCGGGCGGGCGGUGCGGUGAGUGCGGGCUGCGAGCGGGCGCGGCUCGGCGAGCGGGCGGCGCGCUGCCGGCCGCCGCGCCAGCUGCCCCGCCGGCUCAGUAUCGCGCGAGCCCGCCGCCGCCGCCGCACCGCCCGCGCCGAGCCCGCGUCGCCAUGGAGCACUUCAUCGAGACGGUGCGCAAGUACCCGUGCCUGUGGAACACCACCGCCAUCGAGUACCGCGACCAGGAGCUGAAGGACGCCGCCUGGGCUGAGGUCAUGAAGGAGACGGACCUGUCGUCAGUGAAAGAAGUGAAGUUGAAGUGGAAAAAGCUGCGAGAUAGCUACCGUGACGCGCUCAAGCGGCAGAGCGAGAUGCUGGCGAAGGACCCUGCCAACCCCGCCAAGAAGAAUUACCCCUGGAAGUACAUGGGCUGAUGCAGUUCCUGCAGCCGUACAUGAGCAACAGGAAGAAGCCGGCGGGCUCGCCCAGCUACCCCGCGCCCGCCGCGGCGCAGGAGAACGGGCAGCACGAGCAGUCCAGCUCGGAGUCGGAGUCGGAGGCGGAGUCGGCCGCCAAGCGCAAGAGCUCGCAGCUGACCGUCAUCGACCGCAAGCUGGACUACCUGUGCAAGGCGCACGCCGCCAAGCGCGCGUGCCCGAGCCCGCGCCCGCCGCGCACCCCGACCCGCUCGACAUCUUCUUCAACAGCAUGUGCCAGUCCACCAAGCGCUUCCCCUUCCCCACGCAGAUCAAGAUAAAGAGGAGCCUGUUCAACGCCGUGAUCGAGGCGGAGGAGGCGCUGCUGGCGGAGCAGGCGAGCUACGCCAGCCUGUGGGCGCAGGAGCCGGGCUCGUCCUCCAGCAGCGAGCCCAGCGACGACGAGCGCAAGCCCUCCUGAGCAGACGCUGCAUCAUCGCACACGGACUCUCUUAAGAUAUCCUCUUCAGGUGCUACUUUGUAGUUAACAACUAAAUUACGCCAAAUACCUACCUAAGUGAUCCGCUAACUAUCUUGACAUCUGAGAUGUUAUUUUGAAUUUAGAAAGGUAUCUUUUACUCCAUUGCUAAGAUUUAAGUAUGUAUGUUAGAAUUUGUGUCAAAGAUGUAAAAACUUUUGUUUUUGCAUUUGAUGUAAUAUCACAGAGUAAGUACUAAAUAAGUAUGAUGUUACUACCUACGUAAAUAAUAAGCCGAUAUUAAUAGGUAGGUGUAGUUUUCGGCAAACUUUUUGUCGUCAUGGAAAAUUGCACGAGUCGAAAAAAAAGUACUUAUGAGAAAAGUAAAUGGCCCCGUGUGAAGCUGGGCGGUCAGCUCGUUGUACAGCGCUGUUAGAGCUAGCUGUUUGAUUGUGGCUAUGUCAACCAGUUAACAUAUGUAUUUAAUAGCAUUGACUGCCUGUUAUUGUGAUUAUCGCAAUCUCCGCAACUGGUAGUAGAUCUAUAUCUAUUUUGAGGUACAGAACACCAGUCGUAUGUAAACUUACUAGGUAAAGGAGUAAUUAAGGAAACUGACUGAAAUUAUUAUUCUUAUACAGUAAUUAUGUAAGGAUGCGUAGUUUUGUAUUACAUAGUUGCUAGUAUGUUAAAACCUAUUUUAUGUAUGUAACUAUGAUAAGUAAAAUAGAACCUAAAAGUAAGUAGGGACUAAAACAAUGUUUUUUUUAAAUAAACGAAUGGAUCUCUAA